rfam:Myotis lucifugus cont2.52886, whole genome shotgun sequence.
GCCCGGAUGGCUCCGUGGUUGAGCGUCUGCCUAUGCACCAGGAGGUCAGGGUUCGAGUCCCGGUCAGGGCA